rnacentral:rRNA from 1 species
CCUCUGCCCUUUCGCUCUAGUGUGAGCACUAUACGGUGAACUGCGAAUGGCUCAUUAAAUCAGUUAUCGUUUAUUUGAUAGUACCUUACUACAUGGAUAACCGUGGUAAUUCUAGAGCUAAUACAUGCUAAAAACCUCGACUUCGGAAGGGGUGUAUUUAUUAGAUAAAAAACCAAUGCCCUUCGGGGCUCCUUGGUGAAUCAUAAUAACUUAACGAAUCGCAUGGCCUUGCGCCGGCGAUGGUUCAUUCAAAUUUCUGCCCUAUCAACUUUCGAUGGUAGGAUAGUGGCCUACCAUGGUAUCAACGGGUAACGGGGAAUUAGGGUUCGACUCCGGAGAGGGAGCCUGAGAAACGGCUACCACAUCCAAGGAAGGCAGCAGGCGCGCAAAUUACCCAAUCCCGACACGGGGAGGUAGUGACAAUAAAUACUGAUACAGGGCUCUUUUGGGUCUUGUAAUUGGAAUGAGUACAAUUUAAAUCCCUUAACGAGGAACAAUUGGAGGGCAAGUCUGGUGCCAGCAGCCGCGGUAAUUCCAGCUCCAAUAGCGUAUAUUAAAGUUGUUGCAGUUAAAAAGCUCGUAGUUGAACCUUGGGCCUGGCUGGCCGGUCCGCCUCACCGCGUGUACUGGUCCGGCCGGGCCUUUCCUUCUGGGGAACCUCAUGCCCUUCACUGGGCGUGCUGGGGAACCAGGACUUUUACUUUGAAAAAAUUAGAGUGUUCAAAGCAGGCCUUUGCUCGAAUACAUUAGCAUGGAAUAAUAGAAUAGGACGUGUGGUUCUAUUUUGUUGGUUUCUAGGACCGCCGUAAUGAUUAAUAGGGAUAGUCGGGGGCAUCAGUAUUCAAGCGUCAGAGGUGAAAUUCUUGGAUUGCUUGAAGACUAACUACUGCGAAAGCAUUUGCCAAGGAUGUUUUCAUUAAUCAGUGAACGAAAGUUAGGGGAUCGAAGACGAUCAGAUACCGUCGUAGUCUUAACCAUAAACUAUGCCGACUAGGGAUCGGGCGUGUUAGUAUUUUUGACCCGCUCGGCACCUUUACGAGAAAUCAAGUUUUUGGGGUUCUGGGGGGGAGUAUGGUCCGCAAGGCUGAAACUAAAAU